rnacentral:rRNA from 1 species
CCUACGGGAGGCAGCAGUGGGGAAUAUUGCACAAUGGGGGCAAGCCUGAUGCAGCCACGCCGCGUGAAGGAAGACGGUUUUCGGAUUGUAAACUUCUGUUCUUAGUGAAGAAUAAUGACGGUCGCUAAGCAGCAAGCCACGGCUAACUACGUGCCAGCAGCCGCGGUAAUACGGAGGUCGCCAGCGUUGUCCGGAAUUACUGGGUGUAAAGGGAGCGCAGGCGGGUAGCCAAGUCAGCUGUGAAAGCUACGGGCUUAACUUGGAGACUGCAGUUGAAACUGGUUGUCUUGAGUGAAGUAGAGGGUGGCGGAAUUCCGGGUGUAGCGGUGAAAUGCGUAGAUAUUCGGAGGAACACCGGUGGCGAAGGCGGCCAACUGGGCUGUAACUGACGCUGAGGCUCGAAAGUGUGGGGAGCAAACAGGAUUAGAUACCCGUGUAGUC